AAUGAACGUUGGCGGCGUGGAUUAGGCAUGCAAGUCGCGCGGACCAGCAAUGGUUAGCGGCGAAAGGGAGAGUAACGCGUGGGUUAUCUGCCUCCUGGACCGGGAUAGCUGCGGGAAACUGCAGGUAAUACUGGAUAACGUCUUUGGACCAAAGGUGUGAUUCCGCCGGGAGAUGAGCCCGCGUCCUAUUAGCUAGUUGGUGAGGUAACGGCUCACCAAGGCUUAGAUGGGUAGGGGGUGUGAGAGCACGACCCCCCUCACUGGGACUGAGACACUGCCCAGACACCUACGGGUGGCUGCAGUCGAGGAUCUUCGGCAAUGGGCGAAAGCCUGACCGAGCGACGCCGCGUGUGGGAUGAAGGCCUUCGGGUUGUAAACCACUGUCGUAGAGGAGGAAAUUCUAGGGGGUUCUCCCCUUAGUUUGACCUAUUCUAGGAGGAAGUCAGGGCUAAGUUCGUGCCAGCAGCCGCCGUAAAAC
rnacentral:rRNA from 1 species